rnacentral:hammerhead_ribozyme from 1 species
AUCUAGUCGACGAGUCCCAAAUAGAACUAAACGCGCAUCUUGCAU